GGAGGGGUCGCAUAGUGGCCUAGUGCGCACGCUUGGAAAGCGUGUAAGUUCGAAAGGGCUUCGGGAGUUCGAAUCUCCCCCCCUCCGCCA
rnacentral:tRNA from 1 species